rnacentral:sRNA from 1 species
UAUGGAAUGUGUCCUACAUUGAGUCAGGUUGUAAACAUGACCCAGCUACCUUCCUGUGUAUUUAUCUUGGUAGUGGGUCCUAGGGUGAUGAUGAGGUCACAGUGGUGUAGACAAUGAAUAUCUAUGACCUCAUUGGCAGUGGAUAAGGCCAGCCAGGAAGCAACUCAUGCCAGUUAACAUCUGGCAGGGAACACGAAGUAGCUUCCCAUCAAAAUACUCAUCCAGCUUGCUAGAUUCAACUGCUGUCGCUAGGUUUCAAAAGAAACUUGGGAAUAUUAUGCCACCAUGGGCCUUGCCAUGAACUUUGUAUUUAUCCUCCUUGGGAGCAUUGUGUUGGCACUUUUUUCUUCAUCUUGAAAACAUUAUUACAGAUAAUUUGGUAUAAAAUUCCAUUUAUGUUAUCAUCGCCCAUAGAUCAUCAAACUGCUCUGCAAUCAAACAGAAUCAAUGAUGUGAGACUUCGAAUCAGAAAUUUCAACCAGGCUAUACUGAUUACAUCCCUAGAGACAAUAUCUGUAUACAAAAAAAUCCUAGUUAAUCUGGAAAAAAGAGAGCGGCAGUUGGCUAAAAUGAAAAAAAAAAUGCUAUGAGAAAAACUUGUCGUCACAUAAACAUUAGGAAGUAAUGCAUUGUCAAUGUAAAAAUAGAAACUGAGAGUGGAACCAAUGAAUAAAACCUUAAUUAAUUCAACUCAUUUCCUGAGACAUAAGUAUUAUUUACAAGAAUGUGGGGAAAAACCUAAUGGAUGCCUACAUGUAAAGAAUUAAUUAUAUGUGUUUGUUAAUUCAUAUUUUGAUACAUAAUGUAUUAGAAUCACAAUGCAAAAACAGCCAGUUCAAAACAUUGGGUAUUGAUAUGUAGAUGCCAUUAAAAUUUUAUAGAUAACAGGUAACAAGCAGAUGAAAAUUAAAAUAUACAGUUUCACCUAAGUGACUGAAUCAUAAAUUGUAAUUUUCUAUUAGUUUGACAUCAGAAUUUCAUAGGCCAAGAUUUAGUAGCAUUUCACUUGUUUUAAACAAUGAGUGUGUUUAGUAUCAGCUAUCCUUACAUAUUGAAUGUUAUAAAUUAUUGAUUUCCUUUUCACUUGAAUGAAAUUUACAUGUCUGUAAUGCAUUCUUUGUCAGAGUGUAAAUGUUACUAAAAGUAUCUCUUUAAUAUCCAGAGAGAUUGAUAAUUCUUUUUAAUAAUUUGCCAUAUGUCAAGAUUAUAACUGUAUAAUAGGAAUAAACUAUACAAAUGGAUUUUCUGGGAUAUUUAUCAAUUUGUCUUUGAUAAUCAAUAAAGGCACUGUCAUGACCUGCCUACACCCUCAACUACAUUGAAACCUCAGAUUAUUCUUCUAUAUGUCUGAAUGUAUUCCCAGUCAAAACCAAAAUGUACAUUUUCUACCCAGACCCUGUAAAAUCAUCUGCAGAGACACACUACCAGACUUGCAAGUUCAGAAUGUCUUAUGGAUGCAUUAUGAGAAGUAUAGAAGACAGGGACUCACAGGAAGAUCAAUAAAGUGCAAUAAUCUGACCUUUGAGUUUCAUCAGAGACUGAACCUAAAAAAGAAAGCAUGAAAGUAUAGGUCAAAGCACCCAUUAUUUGGGGAAUGUGAAGCUUACUUUUCGUGUGGAUCUCUGAAUAAAUUGGGUUGAACCUAA